UGCCAGCCGCCGCGGUAAUACUGAAGGUGCAAGCGUUAAUCGGAAUCAUUGGGCGUAAAGCGCUCGUAGGUGGCUUUGUAAGUCAGAUGUGAAAGCCCACGGCUCAACCGUGGAAUUGCAUCCAAAACUAACUCACUAGAGUACGAUAGAGGGAGGUAGAAUUCAUAGUGUAGCGGUGGAAUGCGUAGAUAUUAUGAAGAAUACCAGUGGCGAAGGCGGCCUCCUGGAUCUGUACUGACACUGAGGUGCGAAAGCGUGGGUAGCGAACAGGAUUAGAUA
rnacentral:rRNA from 1 species